GACUCAAGUAUUGCCCUAGCUGAUUGGAUGCUUCAAUGGUUCUGUAUUGACCUGGGUGCGUGAUUGGUUAAGCUUGCGGAGGCGGGUUGUUUGGAUGGUGCAGUUGAGAGGAAGGCAUCUGGCGGUAGGGGACCCGCGUAGUACCUUGUAACAGAGCUCGUAAGGUGGGGUACAGCUGUGAAUUGAAAAAGGCUGGAAAAUAUGGACUUUUCACCCCACCGUGGCAUGCAUGAAGGAAGGUCUCCUUCCCUUCAAGAUACCACCAUGAGCUCCAGCCACACCCAGAAGAACCGAGGGGACUCCACUCCGCUGCCUCCAAUCAACGAGCGCCUGGCUUUCCUGCGGCCGUCCAGAGAGCUGUUAGAGUAUUACCGCAAGAAGAUCGCUGAGUUUGAUGAGGAACACGAGGAUCUGGUAAAGCAACUGGAGCAAUACAAAGCUACCUUUGAGGAGCAGGAACGUUCAGAUAAGGUGGCCAAGCGGCUGCAAUUGAUGGCGCAGAGAUACGAGGCUCUGGAGAAAAGGCGCAACAUGGAGGUAGAGGGCUAUAAGACUGACAUCAAGCUGCUGAGACAGCGGUUAAAGGAUGUAGAGAAGCAACUAUUCAAGGUGACGCUGAACAUCGGGCCAGACCAAGAUCUUGCUAUUCUGGAUGCAGUGCGGCAAGGCAACAAAAAGACACAAAAAUUUCAAGGGGAACUGAGCCUGGAGAAUGAACUGAGAAUCGGAUAGAGCACAAGGGAGACUGACGGAGCUGCCACACUAAACAAGGAGCCACAGGUGACGCUGAAUAUCGGGCCAGACCAAGAUCUUACUAUUCUGGAUGCAGUGCGGCAGGGCAACAAAAAGACACAAAAAAUUCAAGGGGAACUGCGCAACUUAAAGGCAAAAAUCUGUGGCCUGGGGAAUGAACUGAGAAUCGGAUAGAGCACAAGGGAGACUGACGGAGCUGCCACACUAAACAAGGAGCCACAGGCAAGUUUGCGUAAUGGCGGCAGGUUCCACGUGAGUGUGAAUACACAGGUGUGAAAUCACGGUGAAUAAACAAAUGUUCCGUGAGAGGAUCCUUAUCAGCUGGGAGAUUUUGUAUGAAUCACGUUAAGCUAAUAAGUUACAUUUUUAUUGACUCAUUUGGCCGAUAAUCCUCGCUGAAUCGGGUGCAUCCGCCGCCUCACCCAGCUGACCAAUCCUAUUUUUGAUGUCAAAAUGCUCAAGUAUCUCAUGAAUUGCAUGGCAGACAACUGAUCUUGCUUGGAUAUGGUCAGUACCCCCGGUUCUGGAGAUCCUUGCUUGAGGAAGAGAAAUCAUUCCCAGGACAGUAUCUAUAGAUAUGGCAACACUCCAGCCGAUAACCCUCCUUACAACAGACAGUACCCACGAGUCUUGAAUAUUCCUUGUCCAGACUCUCUGGAAUUGAAGGAGCCUUGCUCCUACUCUUAGAAGCUGGAACAACCUCCCAUCAUUGUGACUUCUGCUGGGACUUGGAGGAUCGGGGAUCUUUAUAUACUAGACUGCCCUGUCUUUCUUGAGAAUGACCUAUCAGGCUCCUUACCAGGCCUAUAAGCUUUAACUUCCUUCUAAGUGUCAGAUUGGUGUCUUGGAGGUUCCUUAAAUCUCCUGGGAGUCUGCGGAAGGAAUGUACUUUUCCCACCAGAUGAUUUAGAUCAGCGAUCCCCAACCAGUGACUCGGGGGUAACAUGUUGCUCCCAGUGGCCUCAAAGCAGGUCCUUAUUCUUGAAUU